UACGGGGGGGGCAAGCGUUGUUCGGAAUUACUGGGCGUAAAGGGCUCGUAGGCGGCCAACUAAGUCAGACGUGAAAUCCCUCGGCUUAACCGGGGAACUGCGUCUGAUACUGGAUGGCUUGAAUCCGGGAGAGGGAUGCGGAAUUCCAGGUGUAGCGGUGAAAUGCGUAGAUAUCGCUUGGAACGCCAAUGGUGAAAACAGCUCGCUGGGGGUGUGCUGACGCUGAGACACGAAAGCCAGGGGAGCGAACGGG
rnacentral:rRNA from 1 species